GCUUAUACUCGACCGUCAGCGGCACGUGCGAUCGCCCGUAAGGGCGGUCACGAAGCCCUGACGAGUAGGAGGGUCGCGGCGGUGAGCGCAGAAGGGCUGGCCGCGAGGCCGUCUGGAGCCGCCGUCGGUGCAGAUCUUGGUGGUAGUAGCAAAUACUCCAGCGAGGCCCUGGAGGACUGACGUGGAGAAGGGUUUCGUGUGAACAGCCGUUGCACACGAGUCAGUCGAUCCUAAGCCCUAGGCGAAAGCCGAUGUCGAUGCGGUGUAGUUUUUUUAACAGAUAUAUAUAAUUUWAUUAAUAUAUUAGUGCGAACACACCCGUCGGGCGAAAGGGAAUCCGGUUCCUAUUCCGGAACCUGGCAGCGGAACCGUCAAUAAGUCGGGC
rnacentral:rRNA from 1 species